rnacentral:rRNA from 1 species
CCUACGGGAGGCUGCAGUGGGGAAUAUUGGACAAUGGGGGCAACCCUGAUCCAGCCAUGCCGCGUGUGUGAAGAAGGCCCUCGGGUUGUAAAGCACUUUCAGUGAGGAAGAACGCCUGGUGGUUAAUACCCAUCAGGAAAGACAUCACUCACAGAAGAAGCACCGGCUAACUCCGUGCCAGCAGCCGCGGUAAUACGGAGGGUGCGAGCGUUAAUCGGAAUUACUGGGCGUAAAGCGCGCGUAGGUGGCUUGAUAAGCCGGUUGUGAAAGCCCCGGGCUCAACCUGGGAACGGCAUCCGGAACUGUCAAGCUAGAGUGCAGGAGAGGAAGGUAGAAUUCCCGGUGUAGCGGUUAAAUGCGUAGAGAUCGGGAGGAAUACCAGUGGCGAAGGCGGCCUUCUGGACUGACACUGACACUGAGGUGCGAAAGCGUGGGUAGCAAACAGGAUUAGAUACCCUGGUAGUC